UGAGGAAUAUUGGGCAAUGCCCGCAAGGGUGACCCAGCAACGCCGCGUGGAGGAUGAAUGUCGUAAGAUUGUAAACUCCUGUUAGAGGGGAAGAAUAGUACCGGUUGGACCGGUAUAUGAUUGUACCCUCAGAGAAAGCCCCGGCUAACUACGUGCCAGCAGCCGCGGUAAUACGUAGGGGGCAAGCGUUGUCCGGAUUUACUGGGUGUAAAGGGCGCGCAGGCGGGAUAAAAAGUCAGUGGUGAAAUCCUACAGCUUAACUGUAGAACUGCCUUUGAUACUUUUAUUCUUGAGUUCGGGAGAGAGAGACGGAAUUCCAGGUGUAGUGGUGAACUACGUAGAUAUCUGGAAGAACACCAGUUGCGAAGGCGGUCUCUUGGUCCGACACUGACGCUGAGGCGCGAAAGCGUGGGGAGCAAACA
rnacentral:rRNA from 1 species